rnacentral:tRNA from 1 species
GGACUUAGCUCAGUGGUAGAGCACUUGCCUAGCAAGCACAAGGCCCUGGGUUCUGUCCCCAGGUCCG